GGGGGCAAGGGAACAGGCACCAUGCCGUGGCUGCUGAGGAUGUAGCCUUCCUGGGCCGGCCAGCGCAAAGGCAGAGGCUCACCGUACUCCGCGGGGGCGCUGGGUGCUGACACCACCCUGCGGCGUUCAGCGGGCGUGCAGGUGGCAGCGGGACGUGGGCACACGGACCAAACAGGACGGGAAGGCCAACAGCAGUGUGUGGCUGGUACGGUCCAAUGUUAGAGACAGGAGCUGGCGACCCUGAGGAGAGUCCUCACCACAUCUGAAGAGACAAAGUGGAGAGUAAGGAGGCUUCCCAGGCUGUGUAAAAGGGCCACAUCUGUAAUGCAGUGAAACAGGAAGGAGGUGGCAGCCCCCUCUUUUUAAAUAGAAGCGAUCCACGUGAUGUAUAAUGGAGCAGGAUGCCAAUAGAUGUCAUCAGUCUGAGCUCAAGGACAAAAGUCUCUUUACUCCUUACUCACUUCUCUGGGUUGAAACCCUCCACCUCCUCCAGGAAGACACUGCUGUGGGACACUGAAUCCCCACUGGGAAUCAUUAGGAACUUGAGAACGGUCCCUCGGGUCGAACCGAGGAACAAAACUGUACGGUUUCGAUGGGGGCCAGCUUCCGUG